AGUGAACGCUGGCGGUAGGCCUAACACAUGCAAGUCGAACGGCAGCACAGUAAGAGCUUGCUCUUACGGGUGGCGAGUGGCGGACGGGUGAGGAAUACAUCGGAAUCUACUUUUUCGUGGGGGAUAACGUAGGGAAACUUACGCUAAUACCGCAUACGACCUACGGGUGAAAGCAGGGGAUCUUCGGACCUUGCGCGAUUGAAUGAGCCGAUGUCGGAUUAGCUAGUUGGCGGGGUAAAGGCCCACCAAGGCGACGAUCCGUAGCUGGUCUGAGAGGAUGAUCGGCCAAACUGGAACUGGGACACGGUCCAGACUCCUACGGGAGGCAGCAGUGGGAAAUAUUGGACAAUGGGCGCAAGCCUGAUCCAGCCAUACCGCGUGGGUGAAGAAGGCCUUCGGGUUGUAAAGCCCUUUUGUUGGGAAAGAAAAGCAGCAGGUUAAUACCCCGCUGUUCUGACGGUACCCAAAGAAUAAGCACCGGCAAACUUCGU
rnacentral:rRNA from 1 species